GACGAACGCUGGCGGCGUGCCUAACACAUGCAAGUCGAACGGAGAUAUGAUUUCGGUUGUAUCUUAGUGGCGAACGGGUGAGUAACGCGUGAGCAACCUGACUCUUAGAGGGGGAUAACACUCGGAAACGGGUGCUAAUACCGCAUAAGACCACGACAUGGCAUCAUGACGAGGUCAAAGGAGCAAUCCGCUGAGAGAGGGGCUCGCGUCCCAUUAGAUAGAUGGCGGGGUAACGGCCCUCCAUGUCAACGAUGGGUAGCCGAGCUGAGAGGCUGAUCGGCCACACUGGAACUGAGACACGGUCCAGACUCCUACGGGAGGCAGCAGUGGGGAAUAUUGGGCAAUGGGCGCAAGCCUGACCCAGCAACGCCGCGUGAGGGAAGAAGGCUUUCGGGUUGUAAACCUCUGUCCUUGGUGACGAAAAAAAUGACGGUAGCCAAGGAGGAAGCCCCGGCUAACUACGUGCCAGCCGCCGCGGUAAAAC
rnacentral:rRNA from 1 species